rnacentral:rRNA from 1 species
UACGUAGGGGGCAAGCGUUGUCCGGAUUUAUUGGGCGUAAAGAGCUCGUAGGUGGUUCGGUAAGUCGGGUGUGAAAGCCCUCAGCUCAACUGAGGAAGUGCGCCCGAAACUGCAGAGCUUGAGUACCGGAGAGGAUGGUGGAAUUCCCCAAGUAGAGGUGAAAUUCGUAGAUAUGGGGAGGAACACCGGUGGCGAAGGCGACCAUCUGGACGGAUACUGACGCUGAGGCGCGAAAGCCAGGGGAGCAAACGGG